AGAGGUCACAAGUUGAAGGCCAUAGCAGAAGCAUUCACAGCACAGCCAUGUCAGAUUCCAACAAAUCUGUGAAUUCUGCU
rnacentral:ribozyme from 1 species